CGCUUCAUGUUAAAUUAUGAAGUAUUGCCUGCCCUAUGAUUUAAUUAAAUGGCCGCGGUAUAUUGACCGUGCAAAGGUAGCAUAAUCAUUAGUCUUUUAAUUGGAGGCUGGAAUGAAAGGGCGGACGAAAUAAAUACUGUCUUAUUUUAAAAUAGUUGAAUUUAAUUAUUUAGUAAAAAAGCUUAAAUGAUUUUAUGGGACGAUAAGACCCUAUAGAGUUUUAUAAUUAUAUGGAUUUUUUUAGUUAGGAAUAAAUCUAAAUCUUAAAAAUUAUUUUGUUGGGGCGAUAGAAAGAUAAAAGUAACUCUUUUUUUUUAUGUACACAAAUUUGUGGGAGAUUGACCCAUAGGGUUGAUUAAAAGACUAAAUUACC
rnacentral:rRNA from 1 species